CCUACGGGAGGCAGCAGUAGGGAAUCUUCCACAAUGAGCGAAAGCCUGAUGGAGCAACGCCGCGUGGGUGAAGAAGGUCUUCGGAUCGUAAAACCCUGUUGUUAGAGAAGAAAGUGCGUGAGAGUAACUGUUCACGUUUCGACGGUAUCUAACCAGAAAGCCACGGCUAACUACGUGCCAGCAGCCGCGGUAAUACGUAGGUGGCAAGCGUUAUCCGGAUUUAUUGGGCGUAAAGGGAACGCCGGCGGUCUUUUAAGUCUGAUGGGAAAGCCUUGGGCUUAACCGGAGUAGUGCAUUGGAAACUGGGAGACUUGAGUGCAGAAGAGGAGAGUGGAACUCCAUGUGUAGCGGUGAAAUGCGUAGAUAUAUGGAAGAACACCAGUGGCGAAGGCGGCUCUCUGGUCUGAAACUGACGCUGAGGUUCGAAAGCGUGGGUAGCAAACAGGAUUAGAUACCCUAGUAGUC
rnacentral:rRNA from 1 species